AUUGAACGCUGGCGGCAUGCCUUACACAUGCAAGUCGAACGGCAGCACGGGAGCAAUCCUGGUGGCGAGUGGCGAACGGGUGAGUAAUAUAUCGGAACGUGCCCAGUCGUGGGGGAUAACGUAGCGAAAGCUACGCUAAUACCGCAUACGAUCUAUGGAUGAAAGCGGGGGAUCGCAAGACCUCGCGCGAUUGGAGCGGGCCGAUAUCAGAUUAGGUAGUUGGUGAGGUAAAGGCUCACCAAGCCGACGAUCUGUAGCUGGUCUGAGAGGACGACCAGCCACACUGGGACUGAGACACGGCCCAGACUCCUACGGGAGGCAGCAGUGGGGAAUUUUUGGGACAAUGGGCGCAAGCCUGAUCCAGCAAUGCCGCGUGCAGGAUGAAGGCCU
rnacentral:rRNA from 1 species